GCCGAUUCUGAACGAUUUCAUAAUCAGAUGAAAUAAAUACAGACGCUAACACGGCUUUAUUUGAUUUAUUAUUGAAUGCUAUAUCAGAAUGACCGGUGACCCAAAUGACCGGUGUGCAAAUUGUAAAUGUCAAAAGUCAAUUACAAAAGAUUUCGUUUCUCAUAAAUACAUUGUCAAGUCAGAACAACGUGGAAAUUAUCGGAACUUUAGUAGAAAGUGAGUUGCAGAGUAUAGAUAAAGCUAUUGAGGAAACGGUUGCAAAAAUACAGGAUAUGUUGGAUAAAUCUCGCGCGGCAGAUUCAGGUUUGAAAUUAAAAGUAAACGAACAAAUCUUGGAUUCGUGUACAGAUCUAUAAUGAAAUGCAUAAGAAAAUUAGUGCAGAAGUCUCGCUUGCUGCAGAAGGAAAUUGUGGAACAGGGAAGGGAACUGUUUCUGCUACUUUUUACAAACA